rnacentral:rRNA from 1 species
UGCAUGCGAGGUUAAGUUGAAGAGACGGAGCCGUAGCGAAAGCGAGUCUGAAUAGGGCGAUAGAGUAUGUAGUCGUAGACCCGAAACCAUGUGAUCUACCCAUGUCCAGGUUGAAGGUGCGGUAAAACGCACUGGAGGACCGAACCAGGACACGUUAAAAAGUGUUUGGAUGAGGUGUGGGUAGCGGAGAAAUUCCAAUCGAACUUGGAGAUAGCUGGUUCUCUCCGAAAUAGCUUUAGGGCUAGCCUCGGAAGUAAGAAUGAUGGAGGUAGAGCACUGUUUGGACUAGGGGCCCAUCUCGGGUUACCGAAUUCAGAUAAACUCCGAAUGCCAUUCAUUUAUAUCCGGGAGUCAGACUGCGAGUGAUAAGAUCCGUAGUCGAAAGGGAAACAGCCCAGACCACCAGCUAAGGUCCCCAAAUGUAUGUUAAGUGGAAAAGGAUGUGGGGUUGCACAGACAACUAGGAUGUUGGCUUAGAAGCAGCCACCAUUUAAAGAGUGCGUAAUAGCUCACUAGUCGAGUGACCCUGCGCCGAAAAUGUACCGGGGCUAAACAUACUACCGAAGCUGUGGAUUGUACUUACGUACAAUGGUAGGAGAGCGUUCUAAGGGCGUUGAAGGUAGAUCGUGAGGACUGCUGGAGCGCUUAGAAGUGAGAAUGCCGGUAUGAGUAGCGAAAGACAGGUGAGAAUCCUGUCCACCGAAUAACUAAGGUUUCCUGGGGAAGGCUCGUCCGCCCAGGGUUAGUCGGGACCUAAGCCGAGGCCGACAGGCGUAGGCGAUGGACAACAGGUUGAUAUUCCUGUACUCGUUGUUUUCGUUUGAGCAAUGGAGGGACGCAGGAGGCUAGGAAAAGCAGACGAAUGGAAAUGUCUGUCUAAGCAGUGAGUUUUGUGAUGAGUCAAAUGCUUGUCACUUUAAGAAUGAGCUGUGAUGGGGAGGUUGAUCUUGAAUCGACCGAGUUUCUGAUGUCACACUGUCAAGAAAAGCUUCUAGCGAGAAAACAACGACCCGUACCGCAAACCGACACAGGUAGUUGAGGAGAGAAUCCUAAGGUGAGCGAGAGAACUCUCGUUAAGGAACUCGGCAAAAUGACCCCGUAACUUCGGGAGAAGGGGUGCUGCAUUUAUGCAGCCGCAGUGAAUAGGCCCAAGCGACUGUUUAUCAAAAACACAGGUCUCUGCAAAAUCGUAAGAUGAAGUAUAGGGGCUGACGCCUGCCCGGUGCUGGAAGGUUAAGAGGAAGGGUUAGCAUUUCGGUGCGAAGCUCUGAAUUUAAGCCCCAGUAAACGGCGGUGGUAACUAUAACCAUCCUAAGGUAGCGAAAUUCCUUGUCGGGUAAGUUCCGACCUGCACGAAUGGCGUAACGACUUCCCA